GAGUUUGAUCAUGGCUCAGAUUGAACGCUGGCGGCAGGCCUAACACAUGCAAGUCGAACGGUAACAGGAAGCAGCUUGCUGCUUCGCUGACGAGUGGCGGACGGGUGAGUAAUGUCUGGGAAGCUGCCUGAUGGAGGGGGAUAACUACUGGAAACGGUAGCUAAUACCGCAUAAUGUCGCAAGACCAAAGAGGGGGACCUUCGGGCCUCUUGCCAUCGGAUGUGCCCGGAUGGGAUUAGCUUGUUGGUGGGGUAACGGCUCACCAAGGCGACGAUCCCUAGCUGGUCUGAGAGGAUGACCAGCCACACUGGAACUGAGACACGGUCCAGACUCCUACGGGAGGCAGCAGUGGGGAAUAUUGCACAAUGGGCGCAAGCCUGAUGCAGCCAUGCCGCGUGUAUGAAGAAGGCCUUCGGGUUGUAAAGUACUUUCAGCGGGGAGGAGGGGAGUAAAGUUAAUACCUUUGCUCAUUGACGUUACCCGCAGAAGAAGCACCGGCUAACUCCGUGCCAGCAGCCGCGGUAAUACGGAGGGUGCAAGCGUUAAUCGGAAUUACUGGGCGUAAAGCGCACGCAGGCGGUUUGUUAAGUCAGAUGUGAAAUCCCCGGGCUCAACCUGGGAACUGCAUCUGAUACUGGCAAGCUUGAGUCUCGUAGAGGGGGGUAGAAUUCCAGGUGUAGCGGUGAAAUGCGUAGAGAUCUGGAGGAAUACCGGUGGCGAAGGCGGCCCCCUGGACGAAGACUGACGCUCAGGUGCGAAAGCGUGGGGAGCAAACAGGAUUAGAUACCCUGGUAGUCCACGCCGUAAACGAUGUCGACUUGGAGGUUGUGCCCUUGAGGCGUGGCUUCCGGAGCUAACGCGUUAAGUCGACCGCCUGGGGAGUACGGCCGCAAGGUUAAAACUCAAAUGAAUUGACGGGGGCCCGCACAAGCGGUGGAGCAUGUGGUUUAAUUCGAUGCAACGCGAAGAACCUUACCUGGUCUUGACAUCCACGGAAGUUUUCAGAGAUGAGAAUGUGCCUUCGGGAACCGUGAGACAGGUGCUGCAUGGCUGUCGUCAGCUCGUGUUGUGAAAUGUUGGGUUAAGUCCCGCAACGAGCGCAACCCUUAUCCUUUGUUGUCAGCGGUCCGGCCGGGAACUCAAAGGAGACUGCCAGUGAUAAACUGGAGGAAGGUGGGGAUGACGUCAAGUCAUCAUGGCCC
rnacentral:rRNA from 1 species